rnacentral:rRNA from 1 species
AUUAAAGAGUUUAAUAAAACUCCUAAAC